AGCUCAGUGGUAGAGCACUUGCUUAGUAUGUAAGAUGCCCUGGGUUCAGUCCCCAG
rnacentral:tRNA from 1 species